AGACACGGGGCAGCGGCGCACAAUGGACGGGUUAUAAACUGCGCGGGGGGAGGGGAGCGCAGCCGAGCCACCGGCCUCCACUUCCUCCCCUGCCCUCCCCAAAGUGGCGGCCGCGGGGUGGGCGGAGAGGGGGCGAGUCGGGAGGAAAUCGCGCCCCUCCCGGGCCUCGGCGCGCCUUCUCCGGGGAAUCCCGCACGGGAGCCCAGUCCCUACCUGGUUGGAGUGAUGAGAAACCGGAGAGAAAACGGAAGAGGAGCAGCUAAGAGAUGAACCACAGGGCUUUUUUUCCCCCCGCACCCCCGGCCCAGACCAGGGCUCCAGCCCACUCACCAGAUACACUUAAAAUGUAAAUACGAGCUUCCAGAACAAAUGCUACAACACAAAACAGAAACACAUGUGCUGCCGGGCGGCAAGCGAGCGCGCGACGGAGCGGGCGGCUGGGAGCCCGGGGAGCGCGCGCCCCCUGCCGGCCGGCGGACCCCGCGGCGGCCCGGCCCCGCCCCCGCCCGCGCAAGAGCCCGCGGGACCGCGGGCCCACCCGAGCUUGCGCCGGGCGCCACGCGGCCAGA